GACAGAGGUGCCAAGCGUUAGGCGGAAUCACUGGGCUUAAAGCGUGUGUAGGCGGCUCGUUACGUGCCUUGUGAAAUCCCACGGCUUAACCGUGGAACUGCUCGGCAUACUGGCGGUCUUGAGCAACCUAGGGGCGAGCGGAACAAAUGGUGGAGCGGUGAAAUGCGUAGAUAUCAUUUGGAACGCCAAUGGUGAAAACAGCUCGCUGGGGGUUUGCUGACGCUGAGACACGAAAGCCAGGGGAGCGAACGGG
rnacentral:rRNA from 1 species